GUCCACGCCGUAAACGAUGGGCGCUAGGUGUGGGCGGUGUCGACUCCGUCCGUGCCGCAGCUAACGCAUUAAGCGCCCCGCCUGGGGAGUACGGCCGCAAGGCUAAAACUCAAAGGAAUUGACGGGGGCCCGCACAAGCAGCGGAGCAUGUGGUUCAAUUCGACGCAACGCGAAGAACCUUACCAGGGCUUGACAUGCACGGGAAAACCGUGGAAACACGGUCCCCGCAAGGGUCCGUGCACAGGUGGUGCAUGGCUGUCGU
rnacentral:rRNA from 1 species